rnacentral:lncRNA from 1 species
GGUUUUGUGAAGGGAGUUUUCCUCUCGCUCAGAAGCCUCUGCCGUGUGCUGCACUACAACCACGUUUUCUGCCUCUUGCUGAGCCAAGUUCAUUAGCCUCAGUGGGUGAGGAGCUUCAGAAUAAGAUAGAAGCCACAGUGGGCAGUAAUUAAUGCAGAGACUCACAACUGGCUCCUGAGGAUACGUGACCAUUGAGUGCUCAGCUGCAGAGGGUACACAUAUAUCAAUUCCCCACCUCAAGGCUCAGGGAGAGCAUGGGAAGAAUGGAGGAGCUGGAGGAGGAGUGCUGAGAAAUGCUAUUCUUUGGAUAUGACACGGCUAUUGCACACAUGGACUCACAAUAGCUGUGGUUCCCUGCACACCCCCUGUAGAAGAUCAAGCCUGUUACAAAUUCCAAACUGGAAGGAAGAGGGGACACUGAUGCCACGACCUGAACUCCAACACUAUUGGCAGUUGGGAGCUGCUGGGUGAAUGAAAGUCACCUUUCUUUAGGUUGGUCACUAGAAAGUAGCCCAUAUAAUAACUCCACAACAAAGCACAAAUGAACAGC